AGCUGUCCGUCUGUCUGUGCAAAAGUGUCCGGUCCAUAUCUUUCUUACGGAGGAACAUUAGAAUCUACUAUUCCACACAAAUAUUGCCCAUGACCUAAGGGUGUGUCAUGACCUUGACCCAAGGUCAUUUGGGGAAGUUCAAGGUCACUGGAAGAAAAAAUUCAUAAUUCGUGUCCGCUCCAUACUUUCUUAUGGAUAAACUUGGUAGGUUCUAAUUUCACACAAAGAUUGUACAUGACCUAAGGGUGUGUCCUGACCUUGACCCAAGGUCAUUUGGGGAAUUCAAAGUCACUGGAAGAAAAAAUUCAUAAUUUGUGUCCGGUCCAUAUCUUUCUUAUGGAUAAACUUGGUAAGUUCUCAUUUCACACAAAGAUUCCUCCUGACCUAGGGAUGUGUCAUGACCUUGAGUCAAGGUCAUUUGGGGAAGUUCAAGGUCACUGGAAGAAAAAAUUCAUAAUUCAUGUCUGGUCCAUAUCUUUCUUAUG